rnacentral:lncRNA from 1 species
ACCAUGUGGUUGCUGGAAAUUGAACUCAGGACCUUCGGAAGAGCUGUCAGUGCUCCUACCAGCUGAGCCAUCUAGCCAGCCCCCUGCCCAUGUUUUAAGGUGGCUUUGGAACACCUCUUGAGGUCUGGAUUGGAAGAGCCACAGAGCCUUACCCAGGCCUGGGGCUGUCAGCGACAGGCAUCUUCUGUCUAAACACAAGAUACAAGCGGAAUCUGUCAGUGACUCCCUCGGUGCCGGCUGUGAGGGAGGAGUUAAAACCGAUAUGUGACGUAGGCUCGGGUGUGUGUGCUUUUCUUUCCUUAUUUAUUUAUUUUUUGUUUGUUUUUCGAGACAGAGUUUCUCUGUAUAGCCCUGGCUGUCCUGGAACUCACUUUGCAGACCAGGCUGGCCUCGAACUGAGAAAUCCCCUGCCUCUGCCUCCAGAGUGCUGGAAUUAAAGGCGUACGCCACCAUGUCCAGCUUCUUUCCUUAAUUUUUAAUCAUUUUUUAUGUGUACCAGUAUUUUGUUUGCAUUUAUGUUGGUGUACCAUGUGAAUGCCUUGGCUACCGUGGAGGCCAGAAGAGGCUAGCAGAUCUCCUGGAAUUGGAAUUACAGACAGUUAAAGCUUCCACGUGAGUGCUAGGAACUGAACCCGGGUCUUCUCAAGAGCAGCAAAUGCUUACAAAUCUCUCCAUCCCCAGCAGGUGUGUUUGAAGCUGUCUGUGGAGAUAGGUGUGAGACAAAAACACUGGGGUGGCCUUGCCCCAGAUGGACCUCUUGACGCUGUGUGGGAAGCCGCAGCCACCACACAGGCUUACUGCUAUCUCUGCUUUUAUGCCCCGCUGUUACCAUGUGAAGAUCUCAUAUUUUCACAAAAUCAGCCAGCUCCUAGGCUCUGGCAGCCUCUCUCUCACGACAAAGGCUGCAACAGAUGUAGUCACUGUUUAGUGACACCUUAAUCAGUAAGUCUUAGCAGUAAAGGAUAGCCUUUGAGACCAGAAAGUUGGUCCUUGGAGGACAGCGUGUGCAAAGAAGGUCCCUAGGGCGUUGGAAGCAACCCUGCAAGGAGGCCUCACAAGAAGCCUCCAUGAUCCCACAUUCUGACCAUCAGUCUUUGAGGAAUGUUUGGAGCAGCCGGGCUGAGAAAAAUGAAUGUCCCUCCUAACGAGCAGGGCUGGAAUUCCAACUCACGUCUCUAAACAUUCUAGGGCAUAGGAACGAGGGAUGGGGAGACUUUUCCCUUUGGACAGACUCUGACCCCUGUGGCACCUCAGUUUCUUCAUCUUUGGGACAACAAAGUAGCUGGCCUUGUCACCAGUUAUGAUAGAGUAUGAACAAGAAAGCCUAACUGGGGGGGGGCUCUCUCCAAGCAAGGUUUGUUUCUAGCCACUCUAGAGUCUCUGAAGGACUCUUCAGAGAUGGUGUAGAGUGGUACACCAGCCCCUGUACCACUAAGUCCCCUCUGCUGGAUCAUCCCAGUAAGAUGGAGGUCAGGCAGGCAGAGGCAGCAGGUCCUAUCCUUUGCUCUCUGGCUUCUAGAACCACACAUCAAGCCAAACCUCCAACCCAUCUUAUGUAAGAGUUCCCAGGGUGAAUUUCUGCUCACUUUAGGGCACGAGAAAUGGGCAUCUCCGAUGAGAUCUGUAUAGCCAAGGGGCUUCUCAAAGCCGUCAUUUUGAAUGAGGUCACAUCUUGGAUCUAGAAAAUAAUUAGAAGCCUCCCCAGCCCACCAAGGGCACAUUGAGCAUCUACCCACCCCAGAUCCCAGACCCUUCCCAGCAUUCUGCUCCUAAGAGGUCAUAGAGAGGCCUCCCUCCAGUCCAUUUCAUAGACCCCCUCAAGAAUGAGGCAGAGAAGAGAAAGGGUUAAAAAAAAAGCCGAGGCAGCAAGGCGGUCAUGGGGCCUGGACUCUCUUCUAGGGCUGUCAGUGGAAGAAAGCACAUUCCUUCCUCUGAGGGCAAGGUCCUCAUGCAGAGGUAAGCUGAGGCAGGGCCACUCAAGUGAACGAGGGUGUACAGGACAGACCUGACUCAUCUAGCAGCCAAGAGAAUAGCAAUGUACCCAGGGUGAGCAAUGAUGAUGGUUCAGAGAAGUCCCCUGCCAUGCAGGCAUCCUUUAGAGUUUCCAGACAAUAUACCUGGGUCCCAGAUCCUUGAUUUCCUCAGCUGUAAAGUGGGAGUAGUGGCCAUGGGAUUGUUGAGGGGACUUAGGGUUAUAAGUCCAAGCCCUGUGGAGCUGCACAGAGGACCUUGUCACCACUGUCACUGUCCUUCUGUGGCUGUUAUGAUUCCCAUGGGAAGAAAAUUCGCGCCAACUGGAUGGGAAGGCAGUAGGAGAGAGUGCAGCCAGGGUGGGUGGCAAGGGGCCACAGAUGCCGACACAAACAAUCUGUUUCUCAUAAACAUGGGCACCCACACCAGCCGGCCGCCACCCGCGACUUGUACGAGUUGGGAAAGUGCGGGUAUGUUUACUCUCACUCCCCCGUGCCAGCUGGUAUGCUGGGCACAGCUUCACUCCCAGCUGCCUCGACAGCCGGCAGCUCCCAGCUCAGGGAGGGGAGUGUGAGCAGGGGCCCCUGGAUCUUGCCUACAGUUUGGUUCACCUCGGGCUUGCGUCGCUGAUAUUUUCCCAAGACAAAAGUGGAAGACAGGGUGCUGAGAGUCUCCUUGGCAGUCGGUCACAUGACUAGGCUGGGUCAGAGCUGGGUUUCUGGUUUUUAAAGCUCCAUCUGGGGCUUCAAGGUACCCCUGUAUUGAGUUUAAACAACAGGUGCCCCUCCAGUGGGGUCUGAAUCCACUCCUUCUAUACCUCAGCUACCUUCUUGGCAUCUCAGCACCCUCCAGACAGAAAGGUGCAUGCUGCAGUAGGUGCUCUGUUGUUGCAAUAGGUACAAUAGGUGUAUGCAUGGGCUCUGCUGUUGAGCCCAUGUCCUGCGGAUGCUGAAGGAUGUGUGUUUCCGGUUCUCUGCUCUGUGAGCAUCAUCUAGACGGUGUUAUUGGCAGAAAGACAUAUCUGCUGAACCCUUGAGGUUGGGCAGAUAUCCACUGUGAGGUAUCCCCAUGUCACUGCAUCACAUACCUCCAGGCCCAGUGGAGAGUUUUGAGUCAAAGAAUGGUGGGAACUUGGAGGUAAGGGCUCAGGGAUGCUACCCAGGACCUCCUUAGCAAGCAUUAAGUGGACCAUACUAGAGUUAUUGCUUGUGACCUUGGAUUUGGGUCAUGAGUGGCUUUGGCCAAUUAGAAUUUGGUCUUGAAGCUGGGCCAUGAUGGCUCUCACCUUUAAUCCCAGCACACAGGAGGCAGAAGUAGGCAGAUCUCUAUAAGUCUGAGACCAACCUGGUCUAUAAGAGCAAGUUCCAGGAUAGCCAAGGCUACACAAAGAAACCCUGUCUUGAAAAAUCU